UACGAAGGGGGGCUAGCGUUGUUCGGAUUUACUGGGCGUAAAGCGCACGUAGGCGGGUCGUUAAGUCAGGGGUGAAAUCCCGGAGCUCAACUCCGGAACUGCCUUUGAUACUGGCGACCUUGAGGCUGGAAGAGGUUAGUGGAAUUCCCAGUGUAGAGGUGAAAUUCGUAGAUAUUGGGAAGAACACCAGUGGCGAAGGCGGCUAACUGGUCCAGAUCUGACGCUGAGGUGCGAAAGCGUGGGAAGCAAACAGG
rnacentral:rRNA from 1 species